UCUUUCGGGGCUUGGUGAAAUUCCAAACCGGCAGUAAUAGCCUGCGACCCGUAUAAGUGAUUAUACGGCUGAUCUAGUGAAUAUCUAGAGCCGACAGUUAAAGUCUGGAUGGGAGAAAGA
rnacentral:ncRNA from 1 species